rnacentral:sRNA from 1 species
UUGACGGUGCAGAGACUGAAGCCCUCUGUGUGUCCGCAGGGCAGGCAUGGUUCAGAGCGUCCCCUUGUACAGCCCUGCCCACGAGCUCGUCCCUGGCCUGGAGGGACCCACUCUAGAGUGGUAAGUAAUUCAGUCUUGCUGCUAGCUCAGUCCCAGCUCUCU